GUGCUCACUUCAGCAGCACAUACACUAAAACUGGAACGAUACAGAGAUUAGCAUGGUCCCUGUGCAACGAUGACUCGCAAAUUCAUGAAGCGUUCCAUAUUUUA